UUGGGCAUCCAUCAGAGUCUUGAGGAGCAACUUGUGGAUCUAUCAUCAUUGUUAUAUGACCACCGCUUAUUAGACGCGCACCUCAACAGUUCAGAAAUAUUCCAAAGCACUCUAUUUACACAACAAUAUGUGGAGCGCGUUCUAGCAACUGAGAAGCAGAAGAUGAAAUGCUGUAACACUGAGUACAGGGCUCCUGUGCAAUCUUCCCAGGCAUUUAUCUAUGGGGGAAUUUUGAUAGCAGGAUUUGUUGUUUAUUUCCUAGUGAUAUUCUUCUCAUCACCUGAACGUUGACUGCAUCAUUCUUGGCAAGUUCACUUAACCAAGUUGCAUAUACAUUGGAUCAUGUAGAUCAUGGGGACUGGCCAUAUUGUGGAUUAAUCAUAUGGCAAGCAAGGCAUGCAAGUAUGGAUCCAACUAACUGGAAGUCACAAGGGCUUCAACUUUUUAGGUGAUAAUCAAUAUUGAGAUUCAUGUACUUGAUCAUCAAUCCUAGUGUAAUUGUAAUCUUGAGAAAUUUUCUUCCUUCAAAUACAUUGAAGGUAACGCAGUGCUGCUGAAUAUUUAGUCCAAAAAAUGAGAAUAGUGAUGUAUGGAUAAUC